rnacentral:ncRNA from 1 species
UACCUGGUUGAUCCUGCCAGUAGUCAUAUGCUUGUCUCAAAGAUAAGCAUGCAUGUGUAGUAUGACUAAUUCAGACUGUGA